rnacentral:lncRNA from 1 species
UAUAAUUUUUACAAAAAUAUUUAAAAUUUUCUUUUACGUUUUGUCCACUACAACAAAAACGGUUUAUAGCGACACUUUUAAAUAUAGGUACAUGUCAAAAAAGUGCUGCUAGCUAAAAUUACCGACACUUUUAAAAAGUGUUGCUAUAUGUGGGGUCGCUAGGUAUAUAGUGACAGUUAAAGAGUGUCGCUAUAACCUAAAAGAGUGCUGCUAAUUUACCAACACUUAUUUAAGCAUUUAGCAACCGCCGAAACUCUAUCUCGUUGGCUGCGGUGGCGGAGGAGGACGACAGGAAAGGCUCUUCGUCUAGAAUUUCAGUGGAUUGAGUGAAGAGAAAAGAAAAGAUGGUAAUUGAUUUUUCUUUUUUUUUUCUUUUCUGUUUGUAAUCGGGCCAAAUGGACUGGGUGUGGUGGGUUGAAUAGAGUAAUCUUUUAUUUUUGAUUGGAUUAGGCUUUAUAUUUAGGCAUUAGUAGAUGUUUUUUUAAGUUUUAGCAUAAAUGGGACACUUACUCAAAAGUGUCCCAAACAUGUUUCCCUAUAACCUAAUUCUGUUGUAGUCAAAGCAAAAAAUUCUUAACCCAUUCUUUUAAGAUAAUACAUUUGUCAAAGAGAAGAAAAAAGAGAAAAGGAUAAGAUCAUUCAUUUGGAAACUAAGCCAAAGAAACAUCAUAAUAUUUAUUAUAGUUGACAACGACACAACAAUAAGAAAAACUAACAUAUAUUUAUAUACAUAUUCCAUCACAACAUCAAACACAAUUCCCUUCUCGAUCAUUACCUCUCUCUCUAUAUAUAAUACAACAAGAAGAAAAACUAGCAUAUAUACUUCAUCACAACUUCAGACACGCAGCUUGAAAGAGGUGAGCCCCAACUAAUAUCCUGUUCUCAUAUUUACCUCUUUAUACUUCCUCUCAUUUACAAAAAUAAAAAAAAAAUUAAAUAAAAAAGGACUACAUGGAAAUCCUUAGACUCAUCCAUGACUCUCAAACACUAAUAUAUAAAAAAAACUCAACUCGCAACAUGCAUGCGGUGUGACAAUCCAUAUGGCACGGAGAUUGAUUGUUCUCUACUGUGCCGGGGUGGUGGAAUGGGGCUUCACGCACGUGAAAAGCGUCGCGGAGAAGCCGCACCCGUGCAGCGGCCUCCGACGGCGGGCCGGACGAGCCUUGGGAGGGGUGGCGUAGGGCGGCAUGCCGUUGGCGAGCCGAGGGCUGGACGGCGGGGCCGCCACACCAGCCGACACGACCCGUGAGGCUGCGGCGCGGGGCG